AUUUUGGUAGCUUAAAAAUUAAAAGCAUGAUAUUGAAGAUAUCAUUAUGGUGAAACACUUCAAAAUA
rnacentral:tRNA from 1 species